AUGGACGUGCCAUCCGACUGGACCUGCCCCGUCUGCGGGCAAGCUCGGGAGGACGUGGCCUACGUGACCCCCUGCCAACACCGGCUCUGCUACGGCUGCGCCGUCUGGUGGGCCGAGAAGAAGCCGAGCUGUGCCGUGUGCGGGCACAAAAUCAUCGGCAUCCGCUACUCGGUGCGGGCGGACGACGAUUAUCUCGAGUGCUCCGUCCCGCAGCCCGCGGGACACUCAGACGGCGGCCCGCAGGACGAGCAGGGGCCUGCAGAGCCGGUGCUCAUCGCAGCCGAGCACGACUUCCCAGCCGAGGUCUGGGCCGCGUUUUUCGACCGGCAUCCCGAGGACCUCGCACCCCUGCUGCACUGGCUGCAGCAAGAGAUCCGGGAAAUGUCGAGCGACGACUGGUGGGAAGUGCAGGCGGGGCUGUGGGCCACCGUCAGCCUCCUCUGCCAGCACGGGCUCGACCGGGCGGCCUUGGUGCGGGAGCUGCAGCCCAUCACCGACGGCGACGCGACGCCCUUCGUACGGCGCCUCGUCGGCGUCGCCGCAGCCCUGUACGGCCCCCGGAUCCGCCGCCAGCCGGACCGGCGGGACCCUGCAGCCGGCCCCAGCGUCGGCGCCUCCCGCCGGGACCCUCCCGCCUCCGGCGCCGAGGAGCCGCUCGGCAGCUCCGCCGGGGGACCCGGGCACCCCGGCGCCGCCGCCGCGGCGGAGGAGCCGCGGGAAGAGCCGGGGCGGGCGGCGGCAGCGGGCCCUUCCGCCCGGAGCGGAGAGCGCUCGUGUGGGGGCCCCGGCGCGCCCCGAAGAGGAAGACCCGCAGCGGCCCCCAGGAUUCGCCCCCGCCCCGCAAGAGGCGGCCCCGACGGCGGCGCUAGGCCGGCAUCCGCUGCCAGCAGAGCAGCCUCCGCUGCUGGGGGCCGACAUCUGCCUCCCGGCCUGCUGCUGGGAGAGACAAUAAAAGCACGUCAAACGAAAAGAAAAGGCUCCGCGUUCUUGACGAGGCUGCCGGCGCUGCCGGCCCUACCCGUGCCGCUUUCUCCCCUUCUGGUCCCGUGGCAGCUGUAG
rnacentral:lncRNA from 1 species